AUUGAACGCUGGCGGCAGGCCUAACACAUGCAAGUCGAACGAGUGGCGGACGGGUGAGUAAUGUCUGGGAAACUGCCUUAUGGAGGGGGAAAACUACUGGAAACUGUAUCUAAUACCACAUACCAUCAGAUGUGCCCAGAUGGGAUUCGCUUGUUGGUGGGGUAACGGCUCACCAAGGAGACGAUCCCUAGCUGGUCUGAGAGGAUGACCAGCCACACUGGGACUGAGACACGGUCCAGACUCCUACGGGAGGCAGCAGUGGGGAAUAUUGCACAAUGGGCGCAAGCCUGAUGCAGCCAUGCCGCGUGUAUGAAGAAGGCCUUCGGGUUGUAAAGUACUUUCAGCGGGGAGGCGUUACCCACAGAAGAAGCACCGGCUAACUCCGUGCCAGCAGCCGCGGUAAUAC
rnacentral:rRNA from 1 species